GAGACACGAGACAGUACGAAACCGCCUCCCUCGUCGGAUCUGGUGUCCCAGUCUGCUGUCUGCUCUGCUGUUGGGAUCUGAUCUGACGCCACCGUGAGCGCCAACAUUUGGGGCUCCGGUUGGCUGGCUGUCACGGUGUACUCACGGGGACGCCGCCGGCCCCUUGGCAGGCGCAGAUAAUCCCCACUUCUCCCAGCGAAGCAGCGCAAAGAGGACGGCGUCCAGGUAUGCUGCGGGUCCCUGCGCCAGCCACCGACAAUAAUGGCGGCAAUCCACAUCGGAGUCCACUCCCCACCUCCCCGACCACCCACCGCAUCGCCAGUCGCCACGCGACAGCGACGCCCCGCAUCCCCGCGGACGCCGACGGCUGGGCCUACCGCCUGCGCCUCUGGGGGCGGCGGGUCCAGACGCCACGCGCACUCUAGAAGAGUUGUUGUGCGGCGCCGGGCGCGGCGGCCGUUGGAUCCCGUGCCGUGCCGCCGCCUUCGCCCCGCCCGUCCUCGGCGCGUCAGCGAACCCCCUCAUUGUGGCUGCGUGCCUGCGUCGGCCAGCCCGCUUGCUUUGCCCCUCGCUUCGCUUCAAAUGGUAGAGCCGCUGCAGGCUGAGCGACCGCGAGCUUGACCCGGGCGCAAGUCGGCUCGCACCCAGCCAUGUCGGCGCCUGGAUUCGAUGACCCCCAGCUUCCGCCGCUGAGGCUCCGCGCCUCGUGCGGCGGCGCGAUCGCCAGCCCACGCUCCUGCUCCUCCUCUGAUACCUUCGUCAGCAUGCCUUCCACGCCCUCAGGUAUGCUGAAUCCGUGCGGUCUAUGGUCACCACCACCUCGCGCACCGUCGGAGGCGUCCUCGUCGGAGAUGGAGUUCGGGACGGCCCGCGAGUACGACACCACUGAUGCGUUCUUCACUGACAACUGGCUCUACGACAACCACCUGUUACACAGCACGGAGAGCGAUGGCAGCGAAGGGGAGGACAAGUUCAUUGUUGGUCCUGACGUCAGCUUGCAGCGGACUGAGACGCCGGAGCUUGGCGAUGGCUGCGGUCUCAGACACGUACAUAGAGACUGCAAUGCGGACUCUCAUGGGUGCACACAGGCGAAGAAUGCUUGCUCUUCGCCACCUUGUGGUUGUUGCUAUAAUGAGGAGUUGUUGAGAGAUUCUUGCUCCGCUGUUUCUGUUUAUGGGAGGUAUCAUACCAUGGAGGACCACACGGAGGGGCUUGAUGAGUGUGUUGCAGAAGCUUUCUUGUUCAGACUGAAUUCGUUAGUUGAUGCUAGCGAACAGUUAGUGGAUUUCAAGAAAGGAGAGGACGACGGCUUGAAUCUUAGUGCUCUGGAGAAGGAACUUCAAAUGCUUACUCCGUACUUGGCUGAUGAAGAUGCUCUUGAGAGUACUGGACUUGAAGAUGACGUCAGAGGAAAUACCAACCUAGAUGUAUGUAUGGUAACAAACGAGGAAAAUGCUAAUGGCAAAGAAUUUCUAAAAGAUAGCUACUGCAUACUUCCUUCUCCUGAGAGUGCAGUCCCUUUUGAUGUUUAUGGGGUGGAAGACUUCAAGACAGAAGAUACAGAUCUUCAAAACCCUACCGCGCUCGCAAAUUUCAGGAAGAUCCAAAAAUUGAUCCUGCACUCUCUAAUGUUCAGCAGGAGUAUGAAGUAUUUGACCUGAAAAUAUUCACCGGAAGAACCGGACUGGCUUUGACGGAAAACAAAGAAUUCCCUAUUGUCAUGGAUUCCGUAUAGCUGGAAGAUAUCGUAUCAAUGAGUAUCUUGGUUCUGCUGCAUUCAGCAAGGUUGUACGGGCACACGACCUUACGCACUGGAGUUGAUGUAUGCCUUAAAAUAAUUAAAAAUGACAAGGAUUUCUUUGACCAGAGUUUGGAUGAGAUAAAGCUCCUCAAGUUUGUCAAUAAGUAUGAUCCAGAUGAUGAUCAGUCAUAUAUUGCGUCUCUAUGAUUAUUUUACUAUCAGGAACAUCUCUUUAUUGUCACUGAGUUACUACGGGCAAAUCUUUAUGAGUUUCAGAAAUAUAACCAGGAGUCUGGUGACGAGGUGUACUUUUCACUGCCCAGAAUACAGGCUAUAGCUCGACAAUGCUUGGAGGCUUUGGUGUACUUGCAUCAUUUAAACAUAGUUCACUGUGAUCUGAAACCAGAGAAUAUCCUUCUGAAGAGCUACAGCAGAUGUGAAAUCAAAGUUAUUGAUCUUGGAAGCAGCUGCUUCUUGUCAGAUAACUUAAACUUAUAUGUCCAAUCACGUUCUUACCGAUCUCCUGAGGUCAUCUUGGGUUUACCAUAUGAUCAGAAAAUUGACAUUUGGUCUCUUGGCUGCAUCUUAUCUGAACUGUACACUGGUGAAGUACUCUUUCCUAAUGAAUCAAAUGCCAAUCAUUCUGCUCGUAUGAGUGGGAUAAUUGGUCCAAUUGAUAUGGAAAUGCUUGCAUCAGGACAGGAGACCCAGAAGUACUUCACAGAUGACUAUGACCUUUUCCACACGAACGAGGAGACAGAUCAGUUGGAGUAUUUGAUCCCAGAGAAAUCCUCUUUGCGGCGCCACUUGCAGUGCCCAGACAAGAAAUUUGUUGACUUUUUGUCUUACCUGCUGCAAAUAAAUCCCAGAAACAGACCAACGGCCAGCGAAGCGUUGCAACACCGAUGGCUUUCGUUCAAAUAUAGUUCAACGGCCAAUCAGACUCGUUCCUGACAAGUAGGCAACACUUUCUGAAGCUACUGGCUCCUGAAACAACAUGUUUCCUUUUGCAGUAGGAUUUGGCUUCGUGGUUUUUUUAGGUCAACACUUGGCGUUGAAAAACCUGUUUUGCAAGGUGAAUCGAUCGUGUAUAUGCGCUGGUUCAUGCAUGUAAAUAUGAGAAAAGUGGUUCCUUUUUUUUUCUGUACAGUUGCCAUGUACUACAGUGUUGAUCCAACUCAUGGUAUAGCAAAAUGGAAUUCAUAGAUUUGCCUUUGUCGUUUAA